UAGGGAAUCUUCGGCAAUGGACGAAAGUCUGACCGAGCAACGCCGCGUGAGUGAAGAAGGUUUUCGGAUCGUAAAACUCUGUUGUUAGAGAAGAACGUUGCAUAGAGUGGAAAAUUAUGCAAGUGACGGUAUCUAACCAGAAAGGGACGGCUAACUACGUGCCAGCAGCCGCGGUAAUACGUAGGGUCCCGAGCGUUGUCCGGAUUUAUUGGGCGUAAAGCGAGCGCAGUGGUUAAUAAGUCUGAUGU
rnacentral:rRNA from 1 species